UCCAAUCAAGUUGCUUUGGUGAAGGCAACCCAAAAGGACCAUGCACCAUCGGGUCAAGUACAUACCAAAAUAGUUAUGGACUUAGACACUAAUCCAACAGUCUCCCACUUGGAUAAGUCUAAUAACUAUUCUGCGUAUGACUUCGGAUCCCGAUCUGCAAUCGUAGCUUUCCAAAGCCGCUGUCAACUCUGAUCAUAUCAAAUACGCGUGUCCUUAGAUAAGGGAUCAUAUAUUCCUCCAUUCUAGAUAUCAUAUGAGAUAUGAUUUCAAAUCAUUCUCUUUGUACUAUAUCUCGAUUUCCGAUUUAUGACGACUGACUAAUUGAACAAAUCAAAUUAGCCCUAGCCCGGCCGAGCAUUUACGUUUGUCAUCACUAAACCAUCGAGGGGCCCAAAGAUAUCGCUUUUAUCCUACUUUGAAUAAAAGGAACGGAUAAACUUUGAUACAAUGCUUGCUUGUACUCACGCACCGAAUCACACACAACAAUAUGUUUUAUAACACCAAGUUACUGGUGCGUUUACAUAUUAUCAAUGUGCAACCGAUUUGCAAGAUACAACUCACACAUCUCGGUUUCAAGAAUAUAAGAUGUUAUCGUCUCACCAAUCACUCGUGAUACAAUUCAUGGAGUGAUCCAAGUGAGCGUGGGUUUAAUCCAAUGCUCAAAUCAUAUUCAUAAGCACUCAUGAACGUUGCAGCAAACAUUUGCUUAUGUCUAAUACUCUUUUAGACAAUCCACACACCAAUUCACGACAGUCUUCAUUCAUAUCUACUUCCAACAUAUGAACGACUGUGGCCCGUUUGAAUAAUUCGAUUAUUCUUAAUAAACUCAAUUAUUCUGGAAGUCAAAACAUGCAAAUGUGAAACACAAGAAUAAUACUAAUCCCAUAUGGCCUCAAACCUUUGAGUAUAAAUAAAACACCUUUUAUUUAUCACCAUAUUGAUUACUCAUUAUUUGUCGUUUCGGGUAAUCAACUUCUUACUUGAAUUACAACACUUGUCCCAUGCUCCUAGCAUGCACACAAUGUUUACCUAUGGUUCUUACUUUGUGAAAUAGAUCACAUUGAACACAUUUCCAAUCAUUCUCAUUUCACAACUCCAAAUCCUUUUUCAUAAGUGUAAGAAUAUCAAAUUCUUGCUACUUAUAGAAUAUGCUAGAUUCUAACAUUCUAUGCAACUAUCCUUUCGUAAUGUCACUGCACCAAAGUCACAAAGACUAUUGCCAAUGAUAUUACAAAGUCCUCUAUCGGAGAUUGUUACAAGACAAUUCCAUAGAUGUGAUGUCUCUCACUCAAAGUACAUUCUUUGAACAUCCUUUUGCAUAGAAGUUUCUAAUCUAGUCAUAGAUUUCUCAAUAUUCAAUUCCCAAUAUGGACACACUUCCAUAUGUUCCAUAUGACAACUCAUUCUUAAUAGAAUCUUAUCUAUUCGUAAUGAUGUCGAUAUGGUCCAUCCAAUAUGGAAACAUUUCCAUAUUUUCCAAUACUAUACUUCCAACUACUCACAAGCGACCAAUCCUCGUCGAACUUUGGAUUGUCCUUUGAUAGUUGUUUAAUUAUUUUAGUCAAAACCAAUUCUAGUCCCUUUUCCCUCUAAAUGCGCUCGACAUUUGGAAAAUUUUAGAAUGGUCAAACAUUAAAGCAUUUGCAAUCGAUCCUAUACCCGAAGCGUAUGGGACACGACGCAUAAUGUUUUAUUUGCUAUGUUCUCAAAAUUCGAAUUGUGAAGAGGGAUGCCGUAAUCAUAAUCGAAAUUUUAAGAACACACUUUGUACCUUUGACUAAAUUUUAUUAACAUUUCUCAACCUAAACCUUUAGAUUUGAAAUGAAGCAUAAUAUUCUCUCCCUUAAUUAUAGCAAAACAACUCUUCAACUAUUGCGACUUUGCAAAGUAUGACUCUUGUUUUCUAUAAUUAAUAUUGCUAACCUUGCAAUACUUUCCUUAAUAAUCAUACAAUCAUAACUUUUAUGCUCCCACUAUCUUGAUGAUUAUUAUAAAACAUAACACUUAUGCUCCCACUAGCUUCGACAUGUAUUCAUAAACAUCUUAACUUUCAGAAAAAAAAUGCUUAUUGAAUUUCUUAAGUUCAUGUUUCUAAUACUUAGUGCUUUGAUAAUCUUUUAUCAAGGCUUCUUGAACUUAUACACCUUUGCCUUCGAUAGUUCAUAUGUGUGUCUAAACAAUUAAGACUAAUUGCCAAACCUCACAAUUCAAAUUAUGGAAAGGGAUGCCGUAACCAUAAUUGAAUUCGAGAAUGCAAUUUUACAAUCACUAUCUUCUUAAAAUCUUUCUUAGUGAAAGCAUUUCCUCACAAUCAUUUUCAUGAAGGAGGAAAUCUUAUGACACUUAGAUUUAAACGGUGUAUUUGUUCCUAUCCAUGUGAAUUUGUCAAAACCAAAGUUUACGACAAAUUCAAACUCUUAUGGAUCGAACUUUCUUGAUCUCGAUUUCUUGCCUUUAUGGUAGCACAGCUGCCCACCAUGUCUUCCAAGUAGUUAAGCAGCUCACCCUUUCCUAUCAAUGUACCUUUCAUUGAUUAAGGUGCUUUGCCUUUUAUGCGUUCAAAAUGAGAACUCAUAGAACUCACAUGCAUAAUUAACUCGAUUGGAUUGGCACAGAAUCAAAAUAAUGUCAACACGAUAGGUUGUAAACCUCAACUCGUGUGCUAGUGAUGAUCGAUAAGGUUUAUUUGAUUUGUUCUUGAAACCUUUCAAGACCAUUAAGACUCCCACUGACUCCUUGACAUAUAAGAUUCUCUUGUCAAAAAACAUUUCUUGACAAACAAAUAUUCAAGAGUUAGUGUAGCUUUUAUCAAAACACUUCAUAAAUUGGUCCUAGUUGGUCUUUGUCUUAUCCAAGACAUCACAACUUUCCACAUUUAAUGAAUGUUAUAAACCUUCUUAAUACUUUUCACUCAAUGUCACAAUCUUAACUUUAAGACUUGUUAUUGGAACGAAGUAUGAUUGACUUAUUGAUUUAACCAUUUCUUCAAUUCUUGAUUCCUCUUCUUAGACAUACAAUUGUACUAAGACUCACUUAGAGGAUCAAUUGAGAUAUGGUUCUUAAUCAUUAAGACCUAUCAUAAAGCAUAAAAGGUACUCUCCCUUCUUCUUAGAAUGGAGAAACUUUUAUCUUUCUGCCUACUUGAUUCUUCUUAUUCGUUCUGCUAUUGAUUUAAACCUUUUCAAUCAAUUCAGAAUUACACUUAAUCUUAUAAGUAUAAUCAUAUUUACUAAACCUUUAGUAAAUCAUGACGAAUAUCUUUGUUACUCUUAUGGUGGACUUGAUCAACACGCAACUUUGUGUACUCGAUCUCCUAGUCCUUCACUUGACACUUUGUCAAUGAAUUAGUCUAAUUUCCAAAUAUGAAAUUUCUCAUUCAUCGUGCAACCAAGUUGCAUGAUUCCAAGUUUCUGUCCAAUUGAAACUUGGGCGAUGAGAAACUCUCCCUAUUUGGUAAAUUCUCGACUUUCCAUAAAUAACAUAAUAAGAACCAAAUCCAUUAUUGCUAAUAAUAGAAACAUUUUAACAUCAAUUUUUCAUACACGCCAUUGUAAGGAUAAAUAAAUAAAAUUUAAAAUCAAAAUUUAUUUUAUUGCGGAAAAAUUUGUCCUUACAAUGCAAUUCAUUGAAAAACUAUGCUAAUACAUCUUUCUUAGCAAUCUAAUUCUAACUCUAAGUAGUAGCUCAAGAAUCUAAUCUUCGAGAAAUGCGAUCGAAAUCCAUUCCUUCACGGUUAGAUUCUGCUCACUUCUUCCCUUAAGCUUCCUUUCUUUUCUUCGAUCCUACAAAACAUCAAUUGUAAUCUUAUCACAUUAUGUAUUAAGAAUCUAGAAUAGAAGCUUAAAAGAGUUAGUUAAUGGAUUUUACCUAUAUUAGAGCCAUACGUUUCGACUCUCCCAUCUCUUAGAUCUCUUAGGUAAAUGGGGCAGCUUCGUCUCCAAUGCCCUUUCUCUUGGCAAUAAAAGCAAAUUGACUCUUUUGGAACAUGACAUGGAACUACUUCAGACAUUGCCUUUCUCUUAUGAUCAAACUUUUCGAUCAUAGCAUGUCUUUCGUUGCCAUUGUCUAUAUCCAUAGAGGUCUUGAAGGCAGAUUCACCAAUCAACUUUGCUUUUCUAUUGCGCCAAACCAUUGCUGAUUCAGCAGCAAUAAGCAUAUAGGUGAGAUCUAUAAGGGUCACGUCGUGGUUCAUCAUAUAGUACUCUCUUACGAACUCACUAUAUGAGUUAGGAAGUGACUGAAGAACCCAAUCAACAGCCAUUUCCUCACAGACAACGGAUCCCAACAUUCUUAACCUAUCAAUGUGUGACUUCAUCCCUAGGACGUGUGCACACACCGACUUUCCUUCUUUAUGUUUACUUGCCAAAAGGGCUUGAGUGAUCUUGAACUUUUCAAGCCUUUGAACUUGUGGGUUAGGGAGAAUAAUUGGAGGAGGUGGAGGAAGUGAAGCAUGAUUUCUUGUUCCUCGAUCGAAUCGUGGAAUAUCAUCUUCAUGUGGAAUGCUUGUUCCACGGGAUUUGGGAAGACCAUAGUUGUCGAACUUUGACAUCUACAAAACGGGAGAAAACGAAUUCAAGUUAGUUGAUUGAUUGAGUCCUUAGUAAAUCACCCAAAUGAGAUACUAAGGCUAGGACCCAACACAAUAUUCUACAACUCGGGAGAGGGAUGCCGUAACCCAAAUUGCAGAACAUUUGAAGGUAAGUGAAUGACGAUUCACUAAUUUCCACCAUGAAAAACGAAAAAGAAAUUUAAGUUUUAAAUCUAUGAAAACUCCUAGAUCCUUUGAGAUUCAUUGAACAUUUCAAUGGCAUGUUUAAAUCUCGAUAUGCCCCUCUUGUUUGUGACUGGGAUGCCGAGGAUCACAAAGCGGGUGUGAAUAACCAUGCAAACUUACAUGGUGCCCUCACAUGUUACAGUCACCUAUUCGAUGUGCCGGUAAACCACACACGCUCCACCGAACUAUGACAAACAUUGAGUCACCCUUUGCUACCUUUGCUUAGAACCAUUUAGUGUGCCGGUAAACCACACACGCUCCACUAACGUCUUCGCAAGGGCACAAAGUGUAAUUUCAUGGAAUUGCAUCAAUUCACUUUUGCCUAAGUAACUAAGAUUGGGAAUUUUAUGAAAACAUUUAGUUACUUUUAUACUUCAUUAUACUUAUAAUGGAAGGUUUUGUCCUAUCCUACCCGUUCGGCUAACGACCCUCCACUAGUCAAGAGUGCGGUGGGUAAGAGUGGAUACCCAUUCAAUCGCCAUUUUAUAGGCAAUUUCCUUAAACACCCCUUAUAGACCAGCUUCGUGAAUGAGGCCUACUAACGGUAAGACUGACUUUUACUCAUACAUAUAUAUAAUGUUAGACUUUUAAUGUUAUAUAUAGUAUAGGGUGUAUUUUACACUUUUAAAAUACUAGGUGGUCAAAUUUAACAAUUAUACUUUUAAUUCAAUUAAAUUGUAAACCUAAACUUUUAUGGAUUUAUUAAACCUCUUUUAAUUAUACACCUUAAUUAAUUAAUAAAACCAUAAGGGUGUGAUUUGAACUUUUUCAAAACUAUACUAGAGUUUUAGAAUUUAACAUUCCUAAUUAAACUUUUAAUCAACUUUUAAAUUCCAAAACUUGAGGGCAAGUUUUGAAACAUUUCAACACAUUAGGGUUUAGAAUUUAAAUAUACAUCAAAAUUAAACUAUUUAAUCAAAAUUUAAAUUCCAAAACUUGAGGGCAAGUUUUGAAACCUUUUUCAAAACAUUAGGGUUUCAACUAUUUAAAUUUCAAAACAACAAAACUUUUGGGUUCAAAUUUAAACUAUAAAACCUAAAGGGGAAAAUAUGAAACUUUUCAUAACAACAAGGAUCAAAUAACAAAUAAUUCAAAUUAACAUUUAAUCACAUAAUUAUCCAUAUUUGAUUUAUUUAAUGAUUUCUUGCAAAACAAUUUAUCAAUUUACUCAAAAUAAUUAAUCAAUUAUCUUAUAAGGAAACAAUUAUCUUAUUAAUUGAUAAAUAUCUUCAAUUAGAUCAAAAAUAUAGUCAAAUAUAUCAUAUAAUCGGAUUAAUAUUGAUCUAACAUGAUAAGGUAAUUAUCCCAAUGCAAAAACAGCAAGAAAUCCCGAGAUAAGCACUAUCUGACGCACCGACUCGCCGAGUCACCCUCUGGAACUCGCCGAGUAGGGCUGACUCGCCGAGUCCAAGAGUGACUCGCCGAGUCAGGUCGAACAGUGAGGCCAAAACACGAUUUUCAGUUACAUCAAGCAUCAAUACAAUAGAAACCAAUCAUGGCUCUGAUACCACUGAUGGGUUUUGGUCAUAAGACAUCCUAUGUGCUCAUACAAACCCUAAAGCUUGGAUCUAGGUUUCUCUAUUGUACAUGCUUUGAAUCCAAGACUAUAAACCCUAAUUCUAGCAUAUGGAAAUCAAUAUUAACAUAUAAUUAGGUUUAUGAUAUUACCUUGAUUGUUAUGUAGCAAUAACAAUCCCAAUUCCUCCUUGAAUUGACUUUGGAAUGCUUAGAGUCACAAGUGUCACUCCUCUAAUGGCUUACAAACACCAUAAGCAAGUGGAGAAGGUAUAAAGAGAGAGGAGGGAGGUUAGAAUUCGUCCUUAGGACUUCUUGGGAAGGGUUGGACGAAUUCCUAUGCCUUAGGGGGUUUAUAUAGGUGUAAAGAUUAGGGUUUUAGUCCUUAUCCUUAUCUAGUUGCUUGUCCACCAAGCAACCAUAAGAUAAGUCCUAGAAAUCCUUAUCCUAGUCGAAUUCUAAGAGAUUUACACCUCAAAUUCGUUCACCAUAUAUAUAAGAUAAUCCUUACCUUAUUUUGUAACUAUCACAUAAUUACAAUUCAGCCCCUCUAGUUUAAUUAAUUACACUUGAUCACAAAAUUAAUUCUUAAUUAAUCAUUGACCAAUAUUAAUUAAACAAAUAUGAUUUCUCCUUUAAUAUAUUAUUCUUAUAACAUAUUAAUAAAUCAUAAUAACCUCUCUCUCUAUUUAUUUCUCCAAUCAAGUUGCUUUGGUGAAGGCAACCCAAAAGGACCAUGCACCAUCGGGUCAAGUACAUACCAAAAUAGUUAUGGACUUAGACACUAAUCCAACAUGUACACCACUAGUGGUCAUAUGCUAUUGGUGCAUAAUAAACAGUUGACAGCGACCUGGGCACUACACUUGUCACUCUAGAAAACAACCAGUUGUGUUUUGUCUCAUUAUAGACAGGAGAUUGUCGGUAGGAUUUGGACGUGGCUGCGAGAGCGCCAAGCAUGAGGGUUCUCGCGCGAUGGUGAGGACCCGGGUCUAGCGCUAGGACGGAUUCACGACCAUUAAGUCAAUGUUAGACCCACUUUGUAUAGCCUGUUAAUAUCUCGUGUACUUCUAUUUAUCUGAUUUAAUAGGAAAUUAUUAUGAAGAAAAUAUAACUUUUAACAUAUACAAGCUUUACAAAAAAAAUGUAUAAGAGUCAAGAAAGCAAAUCUAGUAUAAUGUGGUUUAUAUUUGAUUUUUAUCAAGUGGUAUAAGGUCUAUCUUAGGUUUAUAUUAAAGAUUAAAUCACAUAAAAUUUGGCAUUCUUAAUAAAUAUAAUACGUGAUGUUGAUAGUACAAAUUAAUUGGAUCAAAUAUAUUAGAUUUUAAAAUAAGCUUCAAAUUCCUAAUGGAUUAUAUGAUAAUAUGAGAAUUUCAUCUAUUAAUUUUAAGAAACCAUAAAUCCACAAUCUAAAUUAUAUAAUUUGAACAAAAAAAUAGAAUAAAUCUUAAUAAGGCUGUAUUAAAAAGUAGAAACCAACAUUUACACUUGGGUUGGGCCGUUGGGGGGGCUUGAGCUAAAAGUUUAAACAUGAAAAUCCCAAUUGAAACGACUGAUAAGGAACUGAACCUAAAUCUAAAAGUAGACAAAAUUGGUAAAAUAUGAUUACUGUGAUUGGAGUUUUGUAAAUAAAAUUUUAAAACUAAAUACAUUUUCAUCAUUUAUCGAAGAUUUAUAAUAUAUGUUUUUAACUCUUUAAUAUAACAAGUUUACAAUUUGUAUUAUUUAAUACAAUAUAUUAAUUAUUUAAACUAAUAAAAUAAAUUUUAUUAAAAAGUAAUAAUAUGUGAUAAUUUUAUCAUAAAUAGUUGGAAAAGUAUAUGAUAUGUGUUGAUAAAAUAGGAGAAGUAUUUUAUAUUUUCUUUUAUGGCUAAUCUUGUGGAAAGUGUAGAAAAAAUAAUUUUAAAAAGGCUAAAACUAAAACAAAAAAAAAAAAAAAUGAAAACCAAAUAUAACCGAAUAAUUUUUGUUAGCUUUUGUUGUGGGUUGAUGUUUCUCAAUUUCUUAUACUGAUGCAAUGGUGAAUAUUUUUUAUUGGUGGAUUUUUUGUAAUUCUCUCCUCUUUGGUAAGAUGAAGCUGAAUAAAGCCAUUUUGAUUGAUGAGAUUGAUGAGAUUUAUUAUUACUACUUAUUGAUUUCUAGUAGACGUACUAAGUACUUUUGGAGUUGGAUUGAUUGAUUGAGAAAUCUAUAAGCGUUUGAUGUGGGUUUAAAGGGUGGAGCCCCAAAACAAAAAUAAAAUGAUAAAGGAAAAUGGGUCAGCCCAAAUUUUAUUGUCAAAUGACACAGAUCAUUGAGUCCAUCUAAAGGAUUCGUUUCCCAAGAUAAUUGUCGUCUUCUACGUAUAAAAGGUAGAUUGGAAGGUUGAAAGGUUGAAAUCGAUAUGAAUAGAUAACGACUUCUUUUCUCCUUGCUAUAUUUUCUCUACGAACACAAUGACACAAUUAAGAUAUUUUGUGUAUGAAUUAGUCAUGUAAUUUUUUUUGGAUUAUCUCAUAAUCUAUAUUCGUGUAUCCUGAGUAUAAUGGUUAAAUUAUAGAUUCCAUAAAGUGUUGUAAUCAUGAUCCAAGAAAUUAUCCAAGUUAUUAUUAUUCGAAAUCCUUAAUUUUAAAAAUUAGUUUCGUGAAUUGAUAGUUUAUUUUAUUUACUUAUUUUUCUAGUUUAUUUUAGCACAUUUCAUCUUUUAUUAGUUAAUGUUCAUGCAUAUAUGCUCUUUUUGUUAUUUUAUAUAUUUAUCGGGUGCUUUAUAGUUUUUAGACAAAACUUCAAAAAUGGUCCUUGUGGUUUUCGAAAAGAUCAAGUUUGGUCUCUAAUUUACAAAAACCUCACGGAUCGUCCAUGUGGUUUCAAAACUUUUAACAUUUGGUCAUUUCGGCUAACUCCGUUACCAUUUAGCCGUUAAGUCAUGAACAUUUUUGUCAUUUCACUACACAAGGACCAUUUAUGAGGUAUUCAAUUACUUUUUUUUUAAAUAAAUAAAUAUAUAAUAUUUAAUAUGCAAGUGGUCUCUCUCUCUCUCUCUCUCUCUCUGCCAAAAUAAUAAAGGACCAUAUUAACCCACCUCCACUUCCAUCAACAUUGCAUCCUUCCCCUUCCUUCUCGUCGUGAACCGCCGAAUGAUAAAAUAACCGGGCAGCAGAGCUGCCACCUACAAUUGGCAAAACCCACUUCACCACCGCCACCGCAGUGACUGUUGGAACACCCCUACUCUGACCAUCUACCAUCUGACAUCGUCCAUCGCUCUUCCCUCUCGUCAUCCCCGCUGAGCAGAAGCAAGAAGGAAGCAAGAAAGGCAACCGGAGCAACCUCCGACCAUUACUACAGCCGUCAUCUGCUGCUGCUACCAUGAUUCCAGCUGCCACCACCACCUUCUACUGCUUCAAUCGAUUUACAAUGCAAAAUUACCUUUUCUGGAAGGAUCUUGGGAGGAUUGGUAGAGGACUAAGAAGCACAAAAAUGUGAAGAGAGGGAUCAGGUGAAGGGAAUGAUAAUGGAUAAGCAGAGCACCUACGAUUCCUCAUGCCUGUAUCAAAGUCUCUUAUAAUUUUUCCUUCUUUUAAUUCCAACUACUUAAUUUCUUAUUCCCAUCUCUAUACAUGUUCAUCUAUUUGUUGAAUUGGAUGUCUCUGGACAGAAAAUUGGAAUUGUAUGCUUCCAAUGGUGAUAACUCUUACUAAAUAAAUCAAAAAAUGAAGGAGGAGAACAAUGCACUCCAGGUGCUCGAUGAAACACCUGAAAGAAAUGUUCCUUCACAAAACUGAAAGUGUAUAAUUUCACAUCUGGAGAAGAAGAUUGGCUCUCAAUUCGAACAUGCCAUACUCGAUGAGGUGUUUGGGUUACAACAACAGCAACACCACCCUUGGGGGUGGUGGUGUUUCUUGGUAGUGAAGGAAAAGGGGAAGGGCAGUAGAAAAACAUGAAUGGAAGGCAGUAAGUGGUGGUAUUUGAGGGUGGGUUUAAGUGAUCAAACGGGAUGGAAGAUGGGUGGCUGGGUUGUGGUUUCCGGUGGGGAAGGAGAUGAUGGCAGUGGUGGUUUUAUGGCGGAAGGUGGUGCUAUCGUGUGGAAUCGUAAGUNAGAGAGAGAGAGAGAGAGAGAGAGAAAGAGAGAGAGAGAGAGAGAGAGAGAGAGAAAAGGUGGGACCCCUUGCAUAUUAAAUAUUAUUUAUUUAUUUAUUUAUUUAAAAAAAAGUAAUUGGAUACCUCAUAAAUGGUCCCUUUGUAGUGAAAUGACAAAAAUGCCCCUGACUUAACGGCUAAAUGGUAACGGAGUUAGCCGAAAUGACCAAAUGUUAAAAGUUUUGAAACCACAGGGACGAUCCAUGAGGUUUUUGUAAAUUAGGGACCAAACUUGAUAUUUUCGAAAACGACAGGGACCAUUUUUGAAGUUUUGUCUAGUUUUUAAGUUUAUUUGCAGAUUUAUCAAAGACUAUUCAAUGCGGAGGAUUGCGGUAUGCUUGUGGAAUUGAAAAUGAUGCAUUUGAGCUUUCUUACAAAUAGAAGAUGGAAUAAAUAUAGGCUAAUGAUCUUAUGGAGGUGUGAUGAAUUGGAGCUUUAGAUGAUCAAAGAAAACUUGGGCUAGUUUGGAUUGCUUAGAAGACAAAAAAUGGGCUCAUGAUGACUUAACUAAUGGGCUGGACCAAAAUACAAGAAGCAAGUGGAGGAAGAAAGUCAUAAAACGAACUGAAUAUCACUUCAUGGGCACUCACGCGGUCCACGUGAAAGAACAAAACAGUCUGUGUGAGUUGUGCAGGGGAAGAUCCAGAUUUUUGUCUUGUUUGCUGUUUGUUUGUCUUUAAUCAUGAGUUUAGAUUAAUGAAUAUUUGAUUUGUUGGCUAACUUAUUCAUUGAGUAAUGGACCUUCAAAUUAAUAAGAAUCAAAUGGUUUAUGUGUUUGUUUUCAUUUCACCUAAGCCAUGGAAAUAUUUCCUCCAUAAUGAUAAUCAAAUGCUUACAUUAUCAUUAUGGAGGAAAUAUUUCCAUGGCUUAGGUGACUCUUAGAACUUGCAAAAUAGUGUCCAUGGAAAUAUUUCCUCCAUAAUGAUAAUGUAAGCAUUUGAUUAUCUUUUGGACAUGCAAAAUAGGUAGCUUGUGUAUGUCUUUCAUUUCAAUUUUUAAAGUCAUGGACACUAUUUUGCAAGUUACUUGAAUCGAUGAGGUAUUAUUUCUUGUUGGGAAGGGAUGAGUAUAUGCCUAAUAUAAGUUGGAUCAGUGUGAUUUGAUAUUAAAUUCUAAUAAAAAGGGUAUCAUCGGGAUUGGAAGCUUAUUUGAUUUCAACAUGGAUUUAUUUCAAAAUUGGAGAUGAUGAUUUCUAGUUGAUCAAAAUCUCUUAUGUGUCAAAGUGAUAAAAUAUAUCUAUGGUGAUCAAGGGGAGUUGACUAAGUUUUCUCAAAAACUGAGAGGUAAUGGUGUGUGGUUAACUAUGGUUAAAUGGUUUGAUAAGCUGCAUGCUAAAGAUAUUGUUCCAUACCAACCGUUGCGUAAAAAAAUAGGUAAGGAUAACUGGAUCAGAUUUUAGGAAGAUGUGUUUGUUGAAGAUAUUAGGCUUAUGGACAAGUUCCUUAUGUUAUAUGUUUUAAAGAUGGAUAAAAUUGUUGUGUUCCUGAUCAUUGGCCUGAUGGUAGGUGGAGGUGGAAUUAGACAAUGAUGUGAAUUAUGAGCUUUGAUUUGGCAUGUAGAAUCAAACGAACAUAAAGAACACAGUGAUUUGGGUGCUAAAAGAUGUAUUCGAUCAUGGUAAAUGAGUACAAAAGGGUACUAGACUAGAACUUCAUAAAUACCUCACCCACUAGUCACUAUGAAAUAUAUCUCUCAAGCAUACCUCUACAAGUGGUAUGAAACCCACUAUAUAUAGAGGUGUUUACAUCUCUCUCUCUCUUUCUCUCUCUCUCUCUCUAUAUAUAUAUAUAUAUAUAUAUAUAUAUAUAUAUAUAUAUCUUUCUUUAUCUUUCUCUCUUUAUCUCUUUAUUUCUCAUGUCACAAGGCUACUCUACCACAUGCAAGUGGGUCUACAAGAGUCAAACCAUUACAAAGUCAUACAUGCAUAACUUUGCACCCCAACAUUCUCCCCCUAAAAGUUAGGAAUAGAUGACUCGCUUCAAUCUUCCAAAAUCAAGCAACUUCACAAACCAAGCCUCAAGCAUCAUAUAUGUAGAGAUGAACUUCAAAUAUUCAAUUCUUUAAUGAGCUUCCAAUCUGGGUUCUACAAUGUGACACCUUCCAAACCGAGCAUCAAAAGGAAAUUAGUAGUAUUUAAACCUCUACAAAAUUACCCAAUUUUGAGCAUAAAAGCACACCCCAAAAAUCUUUAAUAAGUCCAAACUCAUCAUGAACUAAUCACUUCCGAAUCUCCACUUGAAUCACUUCAUAAACUUCAUUGCUCAAGGUCACUUCAGUCUUCAAUUCCACGUAAUACAAAUAAUUCAACUUUUGAAUUCUCAUAUUUAAUUCUCUCCCCCUUUUUAUAAUUGAAAAAUGAUUAUAAAACCAAAAGGGAAUCAGAAAGCGCUCAAAUUCAGAAUUUUUCUAUCCAAAACUCCCCCUUAACACAUGGCAUAAACGUUUUGCAAAAUCCGAAAAAUCCAAAAAAUCCAAAAAAUCUCAAAUUUUGAAUUCGUUCAUGGACCGUCUUUGAUGAAAUUUCACAAAUUCAGGUAGAAACUGUCAAAUUCGAAAUUAUGCAAUGACCCGGUGCACCCAAAACAGCCUAAGAUGCGAAACUUUACCCUAAUUGCGAAACUUGACAUAAAGUGUAAAUUCGCAUUAACUGCAGGGAUCUGUUUCGAAAAUAUUCCAAUUUCUCAUAAUUUUCAACCCAAUUUCCAAGUUGGGAAAAUUCUGCCGCACAAACUCCAGGGAUUGGAAACGAAAAUUUAGGUUAUAACAUCAUUUUUACUCCCAUUUCGAAGUUGGAUUAUUUUUGCUACUUCAUUGAAAUUCCAGGGGUAUAAUUCGAAAUUAUUUGUGUUAUUCACCAAUUCUCUUGUACCAAUCGACUAUUCGACAUCGAAACGUGAUAAUGACCAAAAUCGAUAUCGAAAUCAAGUUGGGUCUUCGACAUCGAUGCUCGGCAAAGGACCCUCGACAUCUUAUCCGUGUAAGACUCUCGACAUCUUGAAUCUAAUCAAUCCUCCCAUUUCGAACCGUCGAUUUCGAUGUCAUUGAAAGAGCAUCGGCCUCAAUACCUGGUAAUGUGAAGCCAUGUUCGAUGUCCACAACAACAUCGAUACCCAACAAGCCUUCGAAAUUAAACUUGCUACCAUCUAUUCCAAUCCCUUUUGUCCCGAUCGACUUCAAAAUCACAGACUUCGCUUUUAGUUCCUCAACCUCGACAUCAAGUUAUGACCAUCGACAUCAAUCCUUCAACUUUACACAUCGAUGACAUCCAAAACUUUCGAUAUCUAAAUCAAUUAACCAAAGCGAAACUUCUCACAUGUCGAACUCAUUAUCCAAUAACCAAUAGCGAAACUAUAAACCCAGUUAUCUUCAUAUGAUUCAAUUGAAAUCGAGGCCAAGCUAACUCAAAAACAAUCACAUAGCUUCGACAUCAAAAUCACAUGUCGAAAUCAACUCUUCUCAACACCAAGACUCCAUAUUUCGAAAUCAUCAUUGAUCAUAAGAAUUCAAUUUCCAAAUCAUUGUGCAAGAAUCGAACAAAAGCGCAUGAACAGUCAUCGACACCAAGAACUCCAAUCCAAGCAAUUUCGAAAUUAAACACCAAAUCAAACUUGAUUUCGAUAUCCAUAGCCCAAAUACAACUUGUAUUAACCAAUUUCCGCCUUCAUUUCAUUGAAUAAACACAUAAAAAUCGAGUUUGACUUUUUCUAUGUAUGACUUUUCAAAGUCAAAGAUCAACAAACACAAAAUUGAAGAUUUUAACAACAAAUUUCAGAUGAAAAAGUGUUCAAUCAACUGUUCUUCAUCUCCUUCAAGUGUUCUUAAUCAAGUUCAUCAAAAUCAAAGAACCAAUUUGAUGAUUUCUCAACUUCAGCUUGAACAAAAUCGAUUUCAUUAUAUAACAAAUUAUAUGAAAUCCAUUCCCAAUUUCAGAUUAACAAAUAACAACCAUCGAUUAUUAGGAACAAUGAGAUGAAAGCGGAACUCAAGAACAAAACGAUUACACUGAUAUAUCAAAAACCGAUGGUACAAUUGUUUUAAGCAUACGACAAAAACGACGCAAAAAGUAAAUAAUAUGUAUCGAGUGAAUUUAUUGAAUAGAUGGGCUCAAAAAGUGAUAUUAUCGGAUUAAUCAAUUUAUGGGCUCAAAACUAAUGAUAGCAGAUUCGUGAUUUGGGCAAAACAUUUGAACAAGAAUAGUGAUCGAUCAAAACUUUGGGUUAAAUCAAAAGUAAUUGAAUCACAAUUAAUUUAGGCUUAAAACUCGAUUCAAAUGAAUAAUUUGUUGGUUUUUGAGCACUAUAAUAUUCCUAUGGUGUACAUGCAACCAUAAAUGUUUUGGAUCUAUGUUUUCUCUAAUUAUACAUGCAUAUUUUCAUUUUUCCAAAGCAUUGUCCUAAUUAACAUACAUUUGAACAAUUAAAUAAUACAACUAGUUAGAUGAAUUACCCUUUAGAAGGACUUGUAGUUCUUGACCCUUGAAAGCUUGAGCACCUCAAGUGUGAUACCUCUAAUGGUUCACAAACACCAAUAUGCAAAAGGUGGCUUAGGAGAAUAAGUUAUUUAGCUCAAAUGAAGGUGUAACCGAUUUUGGUUCAUGAGGGUUCUAUUUGUAGUGUUACACAUGCUAAGGUUACACUUUGUAAACCUUAAUGACCUAUGACUUUCCACAUUCUCAUGCUCUAUGGAUUUAACCUCCAUGGACUAUCCAUGGAUUAACUCAUUGGAUUAGCUCAUCUAUAUAAUCAUGGUUCAUUGACCCACACUACAAGAUUCAUUGAUUUACAUAAUCAAUCCUCAUAUAUUUAAUUAGUCUCUUUUGACCACAAAAUUAAUUCCAAAUUAAUUCUUGACCAAUACUAAUUAAAUAAUUUCAUAUUAAUAUAUUAUACUUGUAAUAUAUUAAUAAAUCAUAACUUAUUCUCAAAAUCCAUCCUAUCAAAUUGCACUGGUGAAGGCAACCCAAAAAGGACCUUGCUACAAUCGGGUCAACUACAUCUCAAUUAUAGUUAUGGGCUUAGACACCAAAUCCAACACAAAUGCAAUUUGAGAAUCGAAUAACAAAAAAGAAUAGGAUUGGAUCGGGGCUUGAUCAAUGAAAAAAUUAUUGGAUCAUAACAAAUGGGGUUUUCAAGAAAAAUUUGAUCCAAUGAGUCAAAAUGAUCAAAAAUUCAAGAAGGCAAGCACGAAUCAAAGAGAUUUAGAGAGAUCAUCGAGAUACUCACCAUAAACGUUCCAAUUGUGUUGAAUGUAGCCAAACCGAGAACCAUUCUUCAAAAAAUCCCUUUGAUCUUUAAAGACCCGCUCUGAUAACAAAUAAUGUAAAUUAUGAGCUUUGAUUUGGCAUGCGGAAUUAAACGAACACCAAGAACACGGUGAUUUGGGUGCUAAAAGAUGUAUUCGAUUAUAGUAAAUGAUUACAAAAAGGGUACUUGUAACGCCUGGUGCAUGGUAUAUAUUUAUUUUAAACUUAUUCCAUAUAAUAAAGCAACUCGACGAGUUGGGAGCCCCAAACUCGUCGAGUAGAGAUCAUAAGGAUCGCAUGAUUUAAGUAACCUACUCGACGAGUUGGGAGGCCUCAACUCAACGAGUAGGCUGGUAGGGAUGAAACCCUAAUUUCCAAGGUUUGCACCCUAUUUAAACGUCUUAAACCUUUCAUGUUGGCCUCAUUUCCAACCUCCAAGUCCCAAACCCUAAAUCUAGAAAACCCUAAAGCCAUUUGAGUGUUUGUGAGCUAUUUUUGAGUGUUUUAGUGUGUAUUUGAAGCUACUGGAAGAAGGAAGAGCUUAGAGACACAAGAAGGAGCAUAUAGAUCCAUAAUCCUUGCCUCAUCCAUGACAUUUUGCUGGUAUAAAGCUUAAACCUUUCCUUGUAGUUUCUUAGAUCUCCUUUUUGGGGUUAUUUUGCUACUUUUGGUCAAAAUGACAUGAUUCUUGGGAUUUGGACACCCCAAGUGAGGAAUACUUCAGAUCUAGAAUCUUGAGGUUUUUUCAUGGCAUAAAGGUGCCAACUUUAUGGCCAUGGAAUCCCCAUGCAACCUUUAGACCAUCAUUUUGGUCUAUUGAAGCUUCUAUGGCCAUGCAUGUGGACAAAUUUUAAGACUUUACAUGAUCAUUUUGUCCCUUGAGUCCAGAUCUAUGGCCUCAUGGUCUAUCUUGAAGUUUUGAUGGCUUUUGGAGUUGGACGUAAGCCAUUUUGAGUUAGGGUUUGAGUUUUAUGUGUUGGGAGAGGACCUUAAUAGGUAAAGUUGGAAACUUUACCCUUCUAGGUGUAUUUCCAGUUUGUAUCCGGAGUUUUGGGUGUAGAUUUGAUGAAUAAGGGCUUAAUGCAUUAAGAAGGGUUGACAGACGGAUGAACUCGACGAGUCCAUAAGGGAACUCGGCGAGUUGGUUUGGAAUGUUCCCGAUUCUGUUGAAUGAACUCGACGAGUCCACAAGGGAACUCAAUGAGUUGUUCUGGGAAAGUCCCAUUUCUGUUGAGAAUGAAAAACUUGGGGAGUUGGAGGAAAACUGGACGAGUUGGAUCGCAAUUUCAGGAUUCGGUGAUUCAUGGGAACUCGGCGAGUUGAAGGGUAAACUCGUCGAGUUGAGUCAACUCGGAGCGUUGACUUUCACUUGACUUUGACUUUAACUUAACCAGAGUUGAUCCUUAAGAGUUAUGGGUAUGGAAUGGUAUCUAAGGGGUUUUUUUGGUUUAGGGAGUGGGUAGAGCUGAUUCCGGGCAGAGAUGUUUCAACUAUCAUCCAACAUUUUAGGUGAGUUUCCUCUUGGUUUGAACAGGUCGAAGGCACCAAUGCCGGCCCGUGUAUGUUAUGUGUGCUGAUUAGUAGCUAAGUGUGGGUCGGGCCUGUAUCUUAGCAUUAUUUGAGUAUGGAUAUGGAAUUUACUGAUAGAUGUGGUUAUAGUUGUUGUAUGUGUGAUACUUGUAUGUGUUUCGUAGUUAGUCGAGUGUGGGCGAGGCCCGUAUCUUCUAGUUAACGGAGUGUGGGUGAGGCUCGUAUCUCCUAGUUAGCUGAGUGUGGGUGAGGCCCGUAUCUCCUAGUUAGCCGAGUGUGGACGGGUAUCUCUUAGAGUAGCUGAGUGUGGGCCAGGCCCGUAUCUCACUAAGUGUGGGCAGGGCUCGUAUUUCAAAGGGUGUGGCUCGUUAGCCAAGUGUGGGCGAGGCCCAUAUCUCCUUGAGGGUGGGAGGGGCCCGUAUCUCCUAGUUGCAUGUUAUGUGUAUGGUAUGUGGUAGUCUGGGGGAAAUUCACUAAGCUUCGUGCUUGCAGUUUCAGUGUUGGUUUCAGGUACUUCCGGUAGCAAAGGGAAAAACUCGAGAUGACUGCAUUGCACACACCACGAUGUUUAGCUUGGGAUGUUCACUCUGAUGUUUUGAUAUGAUAAUCUGAUUUGAUACUAUGAAUUAUGUUUUUGGAUGGAAUGAUUUUAAUAACUAUGGUUUAUUUAAUAAUUAAAAAUGAAUUUUUGGUCAUGAUUUUUGGGAUGUUACAAGUUGGUAUCAGAGCCUUGGUUUGAUGGAUUCGGGAACACUCUCGGGUGUGUCUGGACUCAGACUGAGGACUUGGUAUGAAAAUUUUCAAAAGAAAAUCAUUUUUACAGAAAGGAUUUCCAAAAGAGAAAAAGGGUGUGCUGCAUGCAGUCAGUCGAGCUUAAGUAAGUUCUCCCAAAUUACCCAUACAUGUUUUUUAUGAUAUGAUAAGAUUAUCAGAACUGUAUGCUAGAUUAGGGAUAAGGAUCUAGGAAGGAUGCCUUGUAUGCCUACUGUAUGAGCAUAUUGAACUGCAUGCUAGUACUGAUUAGUCAGUGAUAUAAUGGCAUGAUUAGGAUAUGCUUGGUUUUGUUUACUCAAUGCUUGAAUGCUGCUUGCUUUGUGCUUUUAGGCGUUUUAGUUAUCUUUAUCUAAUUAGUAAACGAGUAUGUUAAGUUAUAUAUUAUGAGGACUAAAUAAUUUCAGAAGGUUAGGUUUAGCCUUAUUUUGCAACUCUCAUUUGAGUCUAAUCGUUGUAGGGAGAGACCUCUCAUUCGAAGAAUUAUCUGGUCUUAUUAAUAUGUAAUGGUAUUCGCGAGCUAGUUAGGGAAUGUAGCGGGGACUUCUUAUGCAGUUAAUGGCUGAGAGUGGUGAUGGGUUUUGGUCAUAAGAACAUCCUAUGUGCUCAUACAAACCCUAAUGCUUGGAUCUAGGUUUCUCUAUUGUACAUGCAAGUUAUCCAAGACUAUAAACCCUAAUUCUAGCAUACAAGUAAUCAUAUUAACAUAAGAAUGGGUUUAAGAUAUUACCUUGAUUGUUAUGUAGCAAUAACAAUCCCAAAUCCUUCUUCUAUUGACUUUAGAAAGCUUAGAGUCACAAAUGUCACUCCUCUAAUGGUUCACAAACACCAAGAGCAAGAGGAUGAAGAGGAGAGAGGAAGGAGGCUGCCCUAAAACGUGUGAAACCCUAGAAGGAUGCUUAGCCACGUUUUUAGGUCAUAAGGGAUCUAUAUAUAUAGGAGGCUAUUAGGGUUAUCUAACAAGGAAACCCUAAUGUGCAACCGAUUCUCAAGAUACAACUCACACAUCUCGGUUUCAAGAAUAUAAGAUGUUAUCGGCUCACCAAUCACUCGUGAUACAAUCCAUGGAGUGAUCCAAGUGAGCGUGGGUUUAAUCCAAUUCUCAAAUCAUAUUCAUAAGCACUCACAAACAUUGCAGCAAACCUUUGCUAUGUCUAAUAUGCUCUAGACAAUCUACAAACCAAUUCAUGACAGUCUUCAUUCAUACUUACUUCCAACGUAUGACUAACUGUGGUCCGUUUGAAUAAUUCGAUUAUUCUUAAUAAACUCAAUUAUUCUGGAAGUCAAAACUUGCAAAGUGAAACACAAGAAUAAUACUAAUCCCAUAUGGACUCAACCCUUUGAGUAUAAAUAAAAC
rnacentral:lncRNA from 1 species